rnacentral:rRNA from 1 species
AUUGAACGCUGGCGGCAGGCCUAACACAUGCAAGUCGAACGAGUGGCGGACGGGUGAGUAAUGUCUGGGAAACUGCCCGCUGGAGGGGGAUAACUACUGGAAAAGGUAGCUAAUACCGCAUACCCCAGGCUGUGUCCAGAUGGGAUUAGCUAGUGGGUGGGGUAACGGCUCACCUAGGCGACGAUCCCUAGCUGGGCUGAGAGGAUGACCAGCCACACUGGAACUGAGACACGGUCCAGACUCCUACGGGAGGCAGCAGUGGGGAAUAUUGCACAAUGGGCGCAAGCCUGAUACAGCCAUGCCGCGUGUAUGAAGAAGGCCUUCGGGUUGUAAAGUACUUUCAGCGAGGAGGCGUUACUCGCAGAAGAAGCACCGGCUAACUCCGUGCCAGCAGCCGCGGUAAUUC